GGUUAAGCGACUAAGCGUACACGGUGGAUGCCCUGGCAGUCAGAGGCGAUGAAGGACGUGCUAAUCUGCGAAAAGCGUCGGUAAGGUGAUAUGAACCGUUAUAGCCGGCGAUGUCCGAAUGGGGAAACCCAGUGUGAUUCGUCACACUAUCGUUAACUGAAUACAUAGGUUAACGAGGCGAACCGGGGGAACUGAAACAUCUAAGUACCCCGAGGAAAAGAAAUCAACCGAGAUUCCCCCAGUAGCGGCGAGCGAACGGGGAGCAGCCCAGAGUCUGAAUCAGCUUGUGUGUUAGUGGAACGGUCUGGAAAGUCCGACGGUACAGGGUGAUAGUCCCGUACACCAAAAUGCACAGGUUGUGAACUCGAAGAGUAGGGCGGGACACGUGGUAUCCUGUCUGAAUAUGGGGGGACCAUCCUCCAAGGCUAAAUACUCCUGACUGACCGAUAGUGAACCAGUACCGUGAGGGAAAGGCGAAAAGAACCCCGGCGAGGGGAGUGAAAAAGAACCUGAAACCGUGUACGUACAAGCAGUGGGAGCACCUUCGGGUGUGACUGCGUACCUUUUGUAUAAUGGGUCAGCGACUUAUAUUCUGUAGCAAGGUUAACCGUAUAGGGGAGCCGCAGGGAAACCGAGUCUUAACUGGGCGUUAAGUUGCAGGGUAUAGACCCGAAACCCGGUGAUCUAGCCAUGGGCAGGUUGAAGGUUGGGUAACACUAACUGGAGGACCGAACCGACUAAUGUUGAAAAAUUAGCGGAUGACUUGUGGCUGGGGGUGAAAGGCCAAUCAAACCGGGAGAUAGCUGGUUCUCCCCGAAAGCUAUUUAGGUAGCGCCUCGUGAACUCAUCUUCGGGGGUAGAGCACUGUUUCGGCUAGGGGGUCAUCCCGACUUACCAACCCGAUGCAAACUACGAAUACCGAAGAAUGUUAUCACGGGAGACACACGGCGGGUGCUAACGUCCGUCGUGAAGAGGGAAACAACCCAGACCGCCAGCUAAGGUCCCAAAGUCAUGGUUAAGUGGGAAACGAUGUGGGAAGGCACAGACAGCCAGGAUGUUGGCUUAGAAGCAGCCAUCAUUUAAAGAAAGCGUAAUAGCUCACUGGUCGAGUCGGCCUGCGCGGAAGAUGUAACGGGGCUAAACCAUGCACCGAAGCUGCGGCAGCGACACUAUGUGUUGUUGGGUAGGGGAGCGUUCUGUAAGCCUGCGAAGGUGACCUGUGAGGGUUGCUGGAGGUAUCAGAAGUGCGAAUGCUGACAUAAGUAACGAUAAAGCGGGUGAAAAGCCCGCUCGCCGGAAGACCAAGGGUUCCUGUCCAACGUUAAUCGGGGCAGGGUGAGUCGACCCCUAAGGCGAGGCCGAAAGGCGUAGUCGAUGGGAAACAGGUUAAUAUUCCUGUACUUGGUGUUACUGCGAAGGGGGGACGGAGAAGGCUAUGUUAGCCGGGCGACGGUUGUCCCGGUUUAAGCAUGUAGGCUGAUUGUCCAGGCAAAUCCGGAUAAUCAAGGCUGAGGUGUGAUGACGAGGCACUACGGUGCUGAAGUAACAAAUGCCCUGCUUCCAGGAAAAGCCUCUAAGCAUCAGGUAACAUUAAAUCGUACCCCAAACCGACACAGGUGGUCAGGUAGAGAAUACCAAGGCGCUUGAGAGAACUCGGGUGAAGGAACUAGGCAAAAUGGUGCCGUAACUUCGGGAGAAGGCACGCUGGUGUGUAGGUGAAGUCCCUGCGGAUGGAGCUGAGACCAGUCGAAGAUACCAGCUGGCUGCAACUGUUUAUUAAAAACACAGCACUGUGCAAACACGAAAGUGGACGUAUACGGUGUGACGCCUGCCCGGUGCCGGAAGGUUAAUUGAUGGGGUUAUCCGUAAGGAGAAGCUCUUGAUCGAAGCCCCGGUAAACGGCGGCCGUAACUAUAACGGUCCUAAGGUAGCGAAAUUCCUUGUCGGGUAAGUUCCGACCUGCACGAAUGGCGUAAUGAUGGCCAGGCUGUCUCCACCCGAGACUCAGUGAAAUUGAACUCGCUGUGAAGAUGCAGUGUACCCGCGGCAAGACGGAAAGACCCCGUGAACCUUUACUAUAGCUUGACACUGAACAUUGAGCCUUGAUGUGUAGGAUAGGUGGGAGGCUUUGAAGCGUGGACGCCAGUCUGCGUGGAGCCAACCUUGAAAUACCACCCUUUAAUGUUUGAUGUUCUAACGUUGGCCCCUGACCGGGGUUGCGGACAGUGUCUGGUGGGUAGUUUGACUGGGGCGGUCUCCUCCCAAAGCGUAACGGAGGAGCACGAAGGUUAGCUAAUCCUGGUCGGACAUCAGGAGGUUAGUGCAAUGGCAUAAGCUAGCUUGACUGCGAGCGUGACGGCGCGAGCAGGUGCGAAAGCAGGUCAUAGUGAUCCGGUGGUUCUGAAUGGAAGGGCCAUCGCUCAACGGAUAAAAGGUACUCCGGGGAUAACAGGCUGAUACCGCCCAAGAGUUCAUAUCGACGGCGGUGUUUGGCACCUCGAUGUCGGCUCAUCACAUCCUGGGGCUGAAGUAGGUCCCAAGGGUAUGGCUGUUCGCCAUUUAAAGUGGUACGCGAGCUGGGUUUAGAACGUCGUGAGACAGUUCGGUCCCUAUCUGCCGUGGGCGCUGGAGAAUUGAGGGGGGCUGCUCCUAGUACGAGAGGACCGGAGUGGACGCAUCACUGGUGUUCGGGUUGUCAUGCCAAUGGCACUGCCCGGUAGCUAAAUGCGGAAGAGAUAAGUGCUGAAAGCAUCUAAGCACGAAACUUGCCCCGAGAUGAGUUCUCCCUGAGACUAUAAGUCUCCUGAAGGAACGUUAAAGACGAUGACGUUGAUAGGCCGGGUGUGUAAGCGCAGCGAUGCGUUGAGCUAACCGGUACUAAUGAACCGUGAGGCUUAACCUU
rnacentral:rRNA from 1 species